UCCGGCUUAACGCCGGCAGUCCCCCCAGAGUCCCCGGCCGACCCUUUCGGGCGACUACUGCCAACAUGUCAAGCCCUGGUAAGGUUCUUCGCUUUGCAUCGAAUUAAGCCACGCGCUCCGCCGCUUGUGCGGGCCCCCGUCAAUUCCUUUGAGUUUUAGCCUUGCGGCCGUACUCCCCAGGCGGGGUGCUUAAUGCGUUAGCUGCGGCACGGAAGUCUUGCGACCCCCACACCUAGCACCCACCGUUUACGGCUAGGACUAC
rnacentral:misc_RNA from 1 species